GAUGAAGAACGUAGCGAAAUGCGAAAAGUAAUGUGAAUUGCAGAAUUCAGUGAACCAUCGAAUCUUUGAACGCACAUUGCACCCGCUGGAACUCCGGCGGGCACGCCUGUCCGAGCGUCAUUUCAACCCUCAGGCCCCCCUUCGCGGGCGGGCCUGGUGUUGGGGCCCGGCCGCUACCCUGCGGCCGUCCCCUAAAUUCAGUGGCGGCCUCGCCGUGAUCCCUUGCGUAGUAAUGCACCUCGCACCGGAGAGCGCCGUGGCCACGCCGUAAAACCCCCAAUUUUCAAUGGUUGACCUCGGAUCAGGUGGGAAUACCCGCUGAACUUAAGCAUAUCAAUAAGCGGAGGA
rnacentral:misc_RNA from 1 species